AGCUCUGUAACCCAAAAUAAAGACACCUUUAAACCUUACUCAACUGGACCACAGCCCUUGUUGCAGCCCAGCUGUGCAUAGCUAGAUAACCUGGGUCAGGAUGACAAUUAGCUCAGAAGAAGUCAAAUUAAUUCCUUGGCUAUUCAGGGCUGAUGGAGGCACAAAUGAAGGGCCAGGGGCCAUUGAGGAUGCCCUUUGAAGUGGGAGUAAAAUAAGUGUACAGAUGUCAGGUCCUGUCACUCAACACUCAUCUGCAGCCUCAACAGGAUGAUCAUAAAGAAAAGUCACAAAAUACAGUUUUUGAGAUGGGAGUAUUUUUCUUCAUUUCUUUUCUUUCUUAGCCAAGGGGAGCACGCAGGGGGGAAAAAAGAGAGUGAGGAAGGUGGAAGGAAAGAGAUUUACAGAGAAAUACAUAGCCUGUACACUAAUUUAAUAAGCAGCCUCUCCCUGCUAGCGUGCGAUUAAACUAAAUUGCCAGUCUAAACUUUUCUGUGCUGAAUUUCAAAUGUCAACACAUUACAUUGCUAUUCCUCUUAAUUUCUCACAAAGAAAAUGCAAAAUGAAUUCAUUAUGCUGGAGUAAGUGGAAAAAAAUGAUGAGUUUCUCCAGAAGAGUAUGCAAUGGGGAGAGAUUGGGCAAGACGAUUAUAUUGAGAUAUUUGAAUAGCUGGCCAUUAGCAAUAGCUUCCCCAUUACUUUGCUGAUAAUUAUAUCUCUUCUGCUAUGACUUCCCAGUGGAAUAAUACAAUGUUCCCAGUACAUGGAAUAAUGAAAAAUACCAUUCAGGUGGUACACACAUGCCAAGAAUAGAAUGUUGUAUUUCCUUUCGCCUUUCCUGCCCCCUCCCUUCACAAACUCCCUGUAUCUUGUAGACUGUAAUGGGUGCACACCUACACAGUUCGUUAAUGUGUAUCUGGUGGUUCUGAGCUGUGUA